rnacentral:lncRNA from 1 species
AAAAAAACGAAAGCGAACUGACUCUGACAGAAUAGUCUUAAGCCCAGUAUUACAUUCCUGAGACAUAUUAACCCUUUCAAUGUCACGUCAGCCUGGUAAGUAUGUUUUGAACAUCUGUCUUACAGCUAAGGCUAGAUUAUAGUGGCAGCAAAGUGGUUGAGUGUCGAUAGCUGAUAUAUUUAACUGGUUCCAAACCUCGAUAUCUGUUCGAGCAUCGAUACUCCGCCCCUCAUUUUCACCUCUAUCUCAACUUAUCCGAAGACAACAUGAUUUCAUGUAAUGAAGAACACUGCCAUGCAGUAGUAACCGCCGUCACUACUGAGAAAUAUCGACUGGAAAGGGUUAAAGCACGUGAAUUGCUGAUUAUAUUGAUGAAGUGAAACUGGAGAACUGUUAAUAUGACAAGCCUUGUGCAAAACAAAUCCAACCCUCAACAUUUGUAGUCUUCAUGCUACGCUGAAAAAAUUUCAUUAACAACUUAUUUUUAAAAUCUGAAUCAAAAUGUAGUUUAGUUACGCAAAAUUUUAUUUAUCAAUUCAAAGAUGUGUUACUGUUUUUUCCUAACCACCUGCUGUUGCAGUGUCUAAAAUAACUAUUAUUGAUUUUUCUCUUUUUAAUGCUAAAACUAUGAGAUUCUUUACGUUUAAUAAUCUACAAUAACACAUCUGUGAAUAGAACGACAGUUUUCUUUUCAACAUAACAUUUAUAUGUUUUUAAUGACAAUAUGUGGCAAAAACCACAGAGUAAGUUCCUAGCAAAUAGAGUCUGCAACAUGGUUUUCAUUCCCGUUAGUAACAAUUUCACUUGAUCUUCCAUCGCUAAAGUAUUUGAGGCAUGAACGUCACACAACUUCUUUCUCACCUCCAUGAAUCCGAAGUCCUGUGCAAUGACAACACACAUUAUGCGACUCUAUAAAGUUGGACUUAAGUUUUUUAUCUCUAUGUCGCGAUAGAAGGAACUGUUUUCGAUUAAAUAUAUUUUUAUAAUACAUCGACGGAAAGGAAGGAUAAACAGUGACAGUCUGGAGGACAUCAAGAAACUGUUGAGUCGAUACCUUAAGCUCCAUUUAUUUUAAUGGAAGGAAAAGAAAGAAUAACAUCAACAUAUCCGUCAAAAAACAACAAACAAAAACACAUCUUCGUUGAUGUCGAUACAGUGAACUUGUAAAUUCUUUAAUCAUAACUAACGAAAAUGAAACUUAUUUAAUUUCUUCUUCCCAGUCUUUAUAUCACUGGACACAGAACUAUAUCCCAUAACAAUUAAAUUUAAAUUGUAUGCAUUUUCGGACACGAAGUGUUUGUUUAAAUACAUUUUGUAAACAAUCGAAGCUCAAAGGAUUCUUGCGGUGGAAUGAAUGAAAGAAAAAAAAAGUAUUAUGUAUUAAUAUAUAUGUCUAUACAGAUGUAUAACUGUGACAAUCAGGAAUCUAUCGAAAGUUUUAAACGUCACCUGUAAUAGUAAUGAAUUUGAAACGAUUAAUAAGUGAAGAACUAAAAAAAAUUCAGAAGAUAGCUGAAUACGACAGGUUCUUGUUGCAUGUGGAGAGUAUCUUAACUCUUCCUUUCUCUUUGAUGGCAGAAUAUAUUUUUGAACAAAAUAUAUAUACUUAAUAUAUAUUACUCACCUCAUUUUAAUCAGUUUCUAUGUAAAAAAAAAAAAAAGAAAGAGAAAAUUCGUGAAGAAUACGAUAAAUUACAACAGAAUGAAAUUUCUCUUCGCUGAGAAGAUUGUUUAUACAAGUCAAAUUUUCCUUGAAACUUUUACCCUGAAACCAGAGAUGUUUAUAGCACACAUUAGAAUAUAAUGAAUAAAUAAGGAAAAUAUAUUAAACUUUAGUACGAAAAUAAAUCUAUAAUAAAGAAUGCUGGCAUUCAGCAAUGCAGUAAGAUUGUUACAGUUGGAAUAUAGGCUAGCCGAGCUAAUAUUCUAUUGUAGACUUGUUUCGAGGCUACGCACGCCGGGUCGAGUAUUCAGAAGAUGGCGGGUGUUUUGUUUGAAGAUAUUUUCGACGUAAAGGAUCUUGAUCCCGAUGGCAAGAAAUUCGACAGAGGUGAGUGCUUAAAAAACUCAACUAUUAGAUUGUACUCGUUUCAUACUGCACAGUCAUGAAUUGCUUUUAUCUCGUUAUCACUUCCUUUGUUCACUAAACAGUCCUACAAGCCAUCGCCACGUUUUUCUUUUGGUUUCUUCCUGUCUUACACUUCGACUUUCUAUUAUUCCAAUAAACUCGUGACUC